AACGAACGCUGGCGGCAUGCCUAACACAUGCAAGUCGAACGAGACCUUCGGGUCUAGUGGCGCACGGGUGCGUAACACGUGGGAAUUUGCCUCGGGGUAUGGAAUAACUCAGGGAAACUUGAGCUAAUACCAUAUAAUGUCUUCGGACCAAAGAUUUAUCGCCCUGAGAUAAGCCCGCGUAGGAUUAGCUAGUUGGUGGGUAAAGCUCACCAAGGCGACGAUCCUUAGCUGGUCUGAGAGGAUGAUCAGCCACACUGGGACUGAGACACGGCCCAGACUCCUACGGGAGGCAGCAGUGGGGAAUAUUGGA
rnacentral:rRNA from 1 species